rnacentral:rRNA from 1 species
UCUUAUCGAUAAGCCAUUGGAGGGCAAGUCUGGUGCCAGCAGCCGCGGUAAUUCCAGCUCCAAUAGCGUAUAUUAACGUUGUUGCAGUUAAAAAGCUCGUAGUUGAAGUGAGGGAGUGUGUGUUCAUGAGAGCUAGUCUCAAGUACUCACAACCUCCCCCCUCCAAUCGGUGUAGUGGGGUAUUCAGUUAUUUCACUACUCCUUUGGUCGUUUACUGUGAGAAAAUUAGAGUGUUCAAAGCGGGCGUUUGUUUGAAUAGAUUAGCAUGGAAUAAUGAUUGAAGGCUUUCGUGUUCGAUUUGAUUGGUUGUUCAUGGAAGCAA